UUAAAGUAGGUGAUUAUCAUGUCGCAUUGUGGUUGCGGAGGUGGGAAGCUUUAAA
rnacentral:tRNA from 1 species